rnacentral:tRNA from 1 species
AAUUUAAUAAUUUAAGUUUUGAACAUUUUGAAUUUCUAAUUUAAAAAUUUUAUGGUUAAAUUCCAUUUUUAAGUUU